rnacentral:rRNA from 1 species
AAUAUUGGUCAAUGGGUGAAAUCCUGAUCCAGCAAUGCCGUGUGUGUUAAGAAGGUCUUCGGUAAGUAAAGCACUUUUAGUUGAGAAGAAUGUUUGUUGGCUAAUAUCCACCAAAUUUGUCGUUACCGACAGAUUAAGCAUCGACUAACUCUGUGCCAGCAGCCGCGGUAAUACAUAGGGUGCAAGCGUUAACCGGAAUUAGUGGGCGUAAAGCGCGCGUAGGUGGUUCAGUAAGAUGGGUGUGAAAUCCCCGGGCUUAACCUGUGAACUGCUUUCAUAACUGCUGAGCUAGAGUACGAUAGAGAGUAGUGGAAUUUCCUGUGUAGCGGUGAAAUGCGUAGAUAUAGGAAGGAACACCAGUGGCGAAGGCGACUACCUGGACUGAUACUGACACUGUGGUGCGAAAGCGUGGGGAGCAAACA